GCUCAUUCAGCAAGCAUUAUCAAAUCAUGAAUGGUAAUCUACCACUAUCCCUCAAGAGGAAGGUAUAUAACAGCUGCAUCCUACCGGUACUUACCUACGGAGCAGAGACCUGGAGACUUACAAAGAGGGUUCAGCUUAAAUUGAGGACGACGCAGCGAGCGAUGGAAAGGAAAAUGAUAGGUGUAACCUUAA